rnacentral:lncRNA from 1 species
AAUUUCACAGUGAUUUCUGGGGUGGGGGCAGAAGGAAGGCGGUGUUAAGAAUCAUUGGGGCUAUGGCCCAGUCAACCCACGGAGGUGCAGGCAGGGUGGGCCCUCACUGGGGCAGCUGGAGGAGCACGGGCUGCCCCACCUGCAGGUAGGUGAUGUUCCGAGAACGUGAGAGCUGGUAUGCAAUGUCCUCCGCGGCUUCCAGCUUGCGCAGCUCGAUCAGGCCAUCCCCUGCGGUAGCCAGUGAGUUGGCAAUCAGCUCAGCUGCCUUGGAGUCGCCCUCAGCAGGGAUGAUGGCUGCCUUUUUCUGCUGCUCAGCCUUUUCCACCACAAAUCUGGCCCUCUCUGCUUCCUGCUGAGCCACCUGUUUGGCUUCACCGCUUCUGUGAACUCCUUCCCGAAGGUCAGAUGUGUCAAGGACAUGUCAUCCAGGAUGAGCCCAAAGGUGGCUGCUCACUCUGUAAGAUCGUCGCUCACCUGCCUGGAGACCAGCUCCCUCUGGGUGAUGAGUUCUCCAGCAUCAAAGCGAGCCACCACUGACUUGAAGAUCUCGGUCGUGAUGGACGGCAGCACACGCUCAUCAUAGUCCUCUCCGAUGCUGGUGAAGAUGCGAGGAAGCUGGCUAGUGACUGGCGGGAAGAGGAUGCGCAGUGUGAAGUUGACAUUCUGUAAAUCUUUGCUACCAGUGAUGACUGGCACAUGACGUGGUCGAGAACGGCGGUCAAAGAUAAUUGGUUUCUGUAUCCAUGGGAUGAGAAAGUGAGUCCCUUUCCCUACCACAAUGUCCUGUACUCCAUGGAACCGGUCCAAGAUGACAGCUCUGUGCCAAGCAUCCACAUUAUAUGAGGCAGAGUUCACCACGCCUCCUGUAACAGCUAAGGCCAGACCAAACUUGCCAAUGGACUCAAACACUUUGGCAGCCAUGUUUUCUUUUGCUGGACCCUCUCACUCCUGCUUCCACUCUGACGACCACAUGACUUCCCCAACCACGCAUACUAUGCAUGCGCUCCUCUCGGAAUUGUUUUUAAACAGGGCCUUCUCUUCCACGUGCUGGUGGGAUUGUGUGCUGGCUUUCUGGAAAGUCACUUGAUAACCCGUAAUGAUACUUUAAAAAGAAUGACUCAGUAAUUUCACUUAUAGGAAUGAUUCUAAUGAAAUGACAAGCCGGGCGCAGUGGUUCAUGCCUGUAAUCCCAGCACCUUGGGAGGCUGAGGCGGGCAGAUCACCCGAGGUCAGGAGUUCGAGACCAGCCUGACCAACAUGGAGAAACCCCGUCUCUACUAAAGAUACAAAAUUAGCCCGGCAUGGUGGCACAUGCCUGUAAUCCCAGCUACUCGGGAGGCUGAGGCAGGAUAAUCGCUUGAACUCGGGAGGCAGAGGUUGUGGUGAGCUGAGAUCAUGCCAUUGCACUCCAGCCUGGGCAACAAGAAUGAAACUCAGUCUCAAAAAAAAAAAAAAAAA